UGGCGAACGGGUGAGUAACACGUGAGCAACGUGCCCAAGACUCUGGAAUAACUUCGGGAAACCGGAGCUAAUACUGGAUACGAGACGUAAAGGCAUCUUUAGCGUCUGGAAAGAAUUUCGGUCUUGGAUCGGCUCACGGCCUAUCAGCUUGUUGGUGAGGUGAUGGCUCACCAAGGCGACGACGGGUAGCCGGCCUGAGAGGGUGACCGGCCACACUGGGACUGAGACACGGCCCAG
rnacentral:rRNA from 1 species